rnacentral:lncRNA from 1 species
AACACGUCCCACCACCUCUCCCAUCCCAACCUCAAAGACUUGUGCUUUGCUGUAACUAACGACUGUUGUGCAGUGCUGUGGCAUUACAUUAUCAAGCAAAAGAGUCACACCAUGAGAUAACAAGCCACCCUGUAACUGAGCUGCCGUGGGAAGAGUUCUCUAGGUUGGGUCUGGAUGUUCUGGGUCUUUCUCUUCUCUUUCCAGUGAUAAGGAAAUUGAAGCUUUACAAAGACAAGCAGCUAACCCAGACUCACCCAUCCCACCUGACUCCACAAAGUUCUGAGCCACUAUGAUAUGCUGUCUGAGAUAUUGAUCAAUGUUGACUGCAAAAUUAACAGAGGUCUCAAUAAUUAAACUAUAAAUUUAUAUACAUAUCUCCCUGAUUUUCAUAAACGAUCUCUGUGACAGAAGGCCUGUGAAUAUAUUCAUGUUCUUCUGAAAGAAAACAAUUUUAUGGUUACAAAAUUUGACCUACUACUUAACUAUGGCAAAGAAUUUGAAUUCCUAGCAUACAAUACCCUUCCUGAAUU